UGUAUUAAUACAGUUCUCUCUUCUCCGUUUGGGUUCGCUCCUCUCUAGUUUUCGAGAGGCAAUUAUUCCGUGGAAUACUUGCGGAGAGACUAGUGAUUUUUUUAGGUGUGGUUUUCUCUAUUUCGAGUUGUUUCACUAGGGAUUAGGGUUCUUUGGAUAGGAUAGAGGUGUCUCUGGUGCCGUUGGACCGAGUUUGAACGUCCGUGUUUUUGCCUCCUUUUGUUAAGAAGGUGUGGAAUAGAAUUUCAGGUCGGAUUUUUGAGAGAGAAAAUGAUGGAUGAUUUAAGGGCAUUGCCCGAGCAUGAAUGGUUCUGUGGUGAACAACGCAACAGGAUUCAUUCACCUCUUUGGAAGUUUCUCGCCGACGGCAAUUUGAAGCUUCCCAAAACUGUUGUGAAGAUUUUGAAGAAGAAAGUUAAGGGCAAAGCUUCAAGGCCGAGCCCAUAUUAAUUCGAAUGCAGCUCUUACUCUCAUCGAUAUUCGGGCUUCUGGAAGAUAAACGGGUGCGAGUUGGUCAUUUUACCUCUUUCUCUCUCAUCCUACUGCACAUUAAUAAUUGCAGUGAAAAGGUGGUGAUGGAUCUCUAUCCUAAUUGAGUAUUGUAUCAUUUCUUGCCAACAAAACACAAUAGUAAGGAUAUAAAGCAACAAAGUUCUGAGUUGAGAAGAUGGCAGCGGGGUGCAUGAAGCCAUCCAGCUGGGUUGUCGGCUCUGAUGGCAUUGCUUUUUCACAAAUUUUGUUUAUGUUUGUGCUUAGUUGUAUGAAUUUUUCAAGCUUGAUUUUGUAAAUGCUUCUUGAAUUGAAUCUUCGUCCUUAACUCAUUUUAGUUAUAUUUAUGUGAAUCUGAAUUUGAGCUCUUGAUAUG